CGCGGGAUAGAGCAGCCUGGUAGCUCGCUUGGCUCAUAACCAAGAGGUCAGUGGUUCAAAUCCACUUCCCGCUACCA
rnacentral:tRNA from 1 species